rnacentral:rRNA from 1 species
UACGGAGGAUGCGAGCGUUAUCCGGAUUUAUUGGGUUUAAAGGGUGCGUAGGCGGCGAGUUAAGUCAGCGGUAAAAGCCCGGGGCUCAACCCCGGCCCGCCGUUGAAACUGGCUGGCUUGAGUGUGGUAGGGGAAGGCGGAAUUCCCGGUGUAGCGGUGGAAUGCGCAGAUAUCGGGAAGAACACCGGUGGCGAAGGCGGCCUUCUGGGCCAUCACUGACGCUGAGGCGCGAAAGCUAGGGGAGCAAACAGG